CCGUUNCCGGCGACCGGCGCACGGGUGAGUAACACGUAUGCAACCUGCCCGUGGCAGGGGGAGUAAGCGGGGGAAACCCCGUCUAAUACCGCGUAACGCGGCCUUGGGGCAUCCCAAGGCCGCCAAAGGGAGCAAUCCCGGCCACGGAUGGGCAUGCGGCGCAUUAGCUAGUCGGCGGGGUAACGGCCCACCGAGGCGACGAUGCGUAGGGGUUCUGAGAGGAAGGCCCCCCACACUGGUACUGAGACACGGACCAGACUCCUACGGGAGGCAGCAG
rnacentral:rRNA from 1 species